CGCAAAGGCAAAAAGAGAGAGAGAUUUGCUAAUGCAUUAAACAGCUAUGUUUUACAGCUGUGCUGCCAGGCUCUCCUCACACACUAUACUGUUACUGGGCAUCAUGUGGAUAAGACACCCAGGACCCCAUAUGCCACACAAGACACCACGAAGCAGCCUCUGAUUAGCUCAGAUAGGAACUUGAAUGAGAAAAUCAAUUCAUGUCAAAGCACAAAGCUCCAUUCUGGCCACUUGUGACUCCCCUCCCUCCAGCAGGUAGUUGAGUCAAGUUGUAUUAAGCCAGGUAAAGCACUUACAUCUCUAAUCUGUCUUGCCUAUGAGAACCCACAGACCUAGCACCCAUCAGAAUGCAUAGAUAAUUAAAAGGGGAUAGCAGACUUAGAACAGGGGGCCAGGAAUGGAGAUUUCCAUAUAUACCAGAAACCAAUUUCCAAUGAUAGAGGGUUAGUAUACAUUGUGGAUUGCCUGGGUUUUCGUUUAUUUGUUUUGCUUUUUUUGGCUUCCUAUUUUUGGUAAUUCUACUGCCUAUAAGUAGGGCAAGGAAAAAAAAGAGGAAAUCAGAUCCAGCUAAUAUUUUGAGUCCAUAUUAACCAUUGUGCAAAAAGAUGGGUGAGGUUUGAAUUUAGAUUAUUCAUCCUUUCCCAAGGCUCCAUUUAGGUAACUGGAAUGGAUUAUAUAGCUUUGGACUAUUUCUCUUCUUGCCAAUAUUAUUAGAAUUAUGAAGUAACAGGCAUUGUGGCAAGACCAAGAAACUUGAGUGCACUGUGACUUUGAAGUCACACAAUCUUUCUAAGCCUCAGUAUGACGGAUAUAAUAAUUCCUGCCUUUUCUACAUCACAAGAUUAUACUGUAGUCUUAAGGAGGUAAAGUAAAUGUACUUUUGGAAAAUAAGCUUUUUAGCAAGUAGCACAUUAAUAUUAUUUUAGCUUAUUAAGGUUUUACAAUUAGUAGCCAACAUCCAGCGCAAUCACAAUUCUGAUUUUUACAGGCUCUACAAAUAUUGCAAAAGUCAUGGAAAUUCAUGUGACACUACAGAACAUAUUCUCAUUAGAAAGAAUAAAAAAAGUCUUCAUUUUGUUUCACAUUAUGUACUAAAACAUUGCUUCUCAAACCUAAUGUGCGUUGGAGGAUCUUGUUAAAUCAUCAGGGAUCUUGUUAAAAUGCACAUUCUGAUCCAGCAGGCUGGGGUAGGGCUUAAGAUUCUGCAUUUCCAACAUCCUCCAGGUGUUGCCAAUGACUCUCCUGGUCCACAGACCAGGCAUUGUGUGCUUUGAGCAGCACUAAACCACUAACUUUGUCUCAGUAACUUUUAGUUCAUAAUAUAGUCUCCCAAAGCCGCAUAAUUUGCAGGCAGCUUGCAAUAUUUAAGACAGUCUUUUAAUUUUUCUUCUCUUUUGGCUCUGCAUGCAUGCAAGGGCUUUAAAAAGAGUUUGUUUUACUGUACAAAAAAAUAUUUUCCAUAAAACUAUAGAAAUGCACAAGUAAAAAUAAUGUAUAACGAUAGGCAAUACUAUUUAUUUAUCCUAUGGAAUUAAAUAAUUUAUACUAUAAAAAUCCUGUAUAAUUACACAAGAUAUGUCAGAGAUAUAUGUAAAAUGUAGUUCAUUAUUGUUCAUAGCAUAAAAAGUGGAAACAAACUAAAUGUUCAAUAGAAGACUGAUAAAUUAUGCUAUAUCCACACCACUUUUAUUUUACAGACACAUAUAUAUCACAGAGAUAUACCAAUAGACUUGAUUUAUAUCAACAAUGAUUCUGCAGAAUAUUAUAAAGAGAAUGGUCUUUUCAACAAAUGGUACUGAGGCAAGUGGAUGUUCAUUUGAGAAAAAAGAAAAAGAAAAUUGAUCCUAGCCUCACCUCAUAAUAAAAAUAAAUUCCCUGUAGAUUGUGAAUAAAACUGGGGACCCAAAAGACUUUCAGAAGAUAAUAUAGAAGAGCAUCUUCGUGAAUUUGGAAUAAAGUUUUUUUAAAAAUAGAACUUAAAACACUAUUAACCACAAAAGGGAAAGACUGAUAAGUUGACUAGACAAAAACUAAAAACUUCUGGUCAUCAAAUAAGAGUGAAUAGUUUAGCCUCGGAAUAUUGGUAACACAAAUGACUAACAAAGGCAUUGUAUCCAGAUUAUAUAAAGAACAUCCAAAAAUUAAUAGGACAGGUAUCCUAGUAGGAAAAUUGGAAAGUGACUUGAAGAGGUCCUUCACAAAAAAGACGAGUUGAGGACAUCAGGAUCAGAACAGCAGAGAAGGCAAACAGAAAUCUGGCCCCCAGCUGGUGUGAAGAUUCAAAAUUGCUCCGGUGAGAAGGGAAAAGGGAGAAAAGAAAAAGGUGGAAAGAGCAGCCAGACUGAAGACUUUCCUGGCAAAUAAUGAGAAAGAACUCAGGAUGUUUUGCGUAGGCAGGCUGGCUUUGAAUAUUCAUGAAAUGUUCACAAAUUCAUAAAAAAUUUUUAAAUAAAAUAAUUCAUAAAAAUGUUAAUGGUGAGUAUUCAAAAUGGUCUGGUUGUGCCCUAGGAUGACCCAGAACUCUGGGACCAAAGGGAAAAAAGGUGGCUUUAGAAGGACGUACUCAAAAUACGAAACUUGGAAAAUUUCUCCAUGUAUUCCAUGAGAGUAUUACCACAAGAGUCACUACAGAUAAAUAAAAAUCCGAAAUAGGUCUCAAGAUGGAAGAAAAGUAUUUCUAGAAGCACUCUUGAGAACACAGGGCCUUCAGACUUAUUUGCAUUAAUACACUAGAACAGAGACUAAAGGAAGUUGCAGAAAAUCUCUCUUAGGAUUGUUCAAUAAAUAUGAAACCUAGUCAUCCACUGACAGUCUUUAAAUGUGAGAACACAUUUCAAUAAGCUGCCAUCUGAGCUCCCUUUAAUCUCUGUUAUUUAUCUUUCAGUUAAAGCGCUCAGUCUUCACGCACAGGCACUAAAGCAAAGCAGCAGGAAGAAAACAUAACAAAGGGGAAGGCCAGGGAGGGAGGACAAGCCCUUCCCACAAACGUCUGUAUCUAGGAUGCGUGCUCUGCCUCCCAAUGCUCAACAGAAAUGUAAAGUAAAUGUUGAAAUCAAAAUAGAACCCAAAAAUUUCUGCUUCCAGGAAGACGCAGAAGAUGAGUUUUUCCCCAUUCUUCCCCAAUACAACCAAAAACCUGGACAUUAUAUAGAAACAAACACUAGAAGACUCUGAUAAGUGGAGAGAACAAUCAGACUAGCUCGGGACCUUGGGAUCCAGGAAACAACACAAUGUGAAUUUCUCCAUGAGACCUUCUGUGAAGAAAGAGCAUUCUACAUCUAAAAGGUUUGGAGACAGACUGCCAAGUUUCAUGACCUGACUCUGCCACCCAGUAGCUGUGUAACCUUGGUCAAGUUCCUUACCCUCUCUGUGCCUCAGUUUCCUUAUCAGUAAAAUUCACAUAAUAUCAAUGUUAAUUGCUACUAACAAUAUAAAUAAUAAACAACAUGGGGUUGUUCGUGAGUUAA